GGGUUGUGAGGUUAAGCGACUAAGCGUACACGGUGGAUGCCCAGGCAGUCAGAGGCGAUGAAGGACGUGCUAAUCUGCGUAAAGCGACGGUAAGGUGAUAUGAACCGCUACAGCCGUCGAUGUCCGAAUGGGGAAACCCGGUGCACUCUGUGCAUCAUUGCAGCAUGAAUACAUAGUGCUGCAAGGCGAACCGGGGGAACUGAAACAUCUAAGUACCCCGAGGAAAAGAAAUCAACCGAGAUUCCCCCAGUAGCGGCGAGCGAACGGGGAGCAGCCCAGAGCCUGAAUCAGUUUGUGUGUUAGUGGAAGCGUCUGGAAAGUCGCAGGGUACAGGGUGAUACUCCCGUACACAAAAACACACAUGCUGUGAGCUCGAUGAGUAAGGCGGGACACGUGGUAUCCUGUCUGAAUAUGGGGGGACCAUCCUCCAAGGCUAAAUACUCCUGACUGACCGAUAGUGAACCAGUACCGUGAGGGAAAGGCGAAAAGAACCCCGGCGAGGGGAGUGAAACAGAACCUGAAACCGUGUACGUACAAGCAGUGGGAGCCUUCUUUAUGGGGGUGACUGCGUACCUUUUGUAUAAUGGGUCAGCGACUUAUAUUCUGUAGCAAGGUUAACCGUAUAGGGGAGCCGCAGGGAAACCGAGUCUUAACUGGGCGUUAAGUUGCAGGGUAUAGACCCGAAACCCGGUGAUCUAGCCAUGGGCAGGUUGAAGGUUGGGUAACACUAACUGGAGGACCGAACCGACUAAUGUUGAAAAAUUAGCGGAUGACCUGUGGCUGGGGGUGAAAGGCCAAUCAAACCGGGAGAUAGCUGGUUCUCCCCGAAAGCUAUUUAGGUAGCGCCUCGUGAACUCAUCUUCGGGGGUAGAGCACUGUUUCGGCUAGGGGGCCAUCCCGGCUUACCAACCCGAUGCAAACUGCGAAUACCGAAGAAUGUUAUCACGGGAGACACACGGCGGGUGCUAACGUCCGUCGUGAAGAGGGAAACAACCCAGACCGCCAGCUAAGGUCCCAAAGUCAUGGUUAAGUGGGAAACGAUGUGGGAAGGCACAGACAGCCAGGAUGUUGGCUUAGAAGCAGCCAUCAUUUAAAGAAAGCGUAAUAGCUCACUGGUCGAGUCGGCCUGCGCGGAAGAUGUAACGGGGCUAAACCAUGCACCGAAGCUGCGGCAGCGACACUAUGUGUUGUUGGGUAGGGGAGCGUUCUGUAAGCCGUCGAAGGUGUGCUGUGAGGCAUGCUGGAGGUAUCAGAAGUGCGAAUGCUGACAUAAGUAACGAUAAAGCGGGUGAAAAGCCCGCUCGCCGGAAGACCAAGGGUUCCUGUUCAACGUUAAUCGGAGCAGGGUGAGUCGACCCCUAAGGCGAGGCCGAAAGGCGUAGUCGAUGGGAAACAGGUUAAUAUUCCUGUACUCGGUGUUACUGCGAAGGGGGGACGGAGAAGGCUAUAUCAGCCGGGCGACGGUUGUCCCGGUUUAAGCGUGUAGGCGGAG
rnacentral:rRNA from 1 species